AAAAUAUUGGGGUUCUAUUGUCAGUGGGGUUCUAUUGUCGGAUGUCGCUAGUGUUGCCCUUGUUGUUUUUACAACGUAAAACGAGGCGAAAAGUGCGAAACAAAUUGUAGCUGAUUAAUACUUCCUGUGAUUAUAUUCCUGUGAUUUCUUAUAUCAAAUUGAACUUCGUAACUUGUAUGCAUACUGUCAGUCAUUCCAAAAAGUUGACUUAGCGCUCAGUCACUUUCCCUCCAAUAGACCCAUCAUGUUGUCAAAAACCUAAAACUCAUAUGUGAAGCUCAAAUAUCGUGGAAUACAAAUGUGCGGAGACGAGGUAUUUCCCCAUUACUGCUACCAACCACACCACGUCAAAUGCCUUACUAAAUUCAUCACCAUUCACCCAUAUGAUAAAGCAUCAGGAAAUUUAUCUAAACCUGAGGAGUAAGGCUGUUGGUUGCUGUGAUUUCCAUUUUUACGGUUUUUUAUCAUGAAACUUUCAGUGAGCUUGUUACUUAAGAGCACGUAAUAGAUCCUAGCCAAUGCGUACCUUUGUCCAUGACGGAAGAGAGACUUCCAGCAAGUUUUGCUCCAUCCUCAUCUUCCCGACGUACACUCAUCUAGCUUCACUGCUUUUGCUGCUACAACUUGUCUUACUUCACCGACGAGUUGGAAAACUUCCGUGGUCGCUACCCUUUGCUGUUACACACCUGCAGUUACUUACCUCGGGAUUAUGGCCAGGUAAUGCAGAGGAAAUUUCGAGAAGAUGGACACCAUAACGUCGCCGGUAUCUCCAAAGUGUCAGCGCGGAUCAUCAUUUGAUGUUGGUAAUAUGUUUGUGUUUGUGUUAGUUAACCCGUUGUCUGCCACGCCUUUGUUCUCCCCGCUCCUUAGCAUGGGCCGCGCCGAAAGGCGCCUGUUUGGCAAUGCACCAAGUUCCCCCUUGUCGAUGCGGUGAUGGAUUCUCCUGUCACCGUGUCAGCC